rnacentral:misc_RNA from 1 species
UAUAUAUUCUGUUAAAUAUAAUUCCAGUAUUGAAAGGGAAGGAUUCUUAUGUUUAAUGUGAUUAAAUUAACUCUUCGCUGUGCAUACAACAGUAUAUCAUGAUUCUUUGAAUUUUUUUUAAAUAUUUGUUUAGUGACUACAAUUCUGCACAUAAAUAUUUUGUUUAUUCAAUCAUCCAGUUUCAUGCUGUAGAAAAAUGACUGAGUAUUACUAUUGAAAGUAUUACUAAACAUCAGCUGCAUUAUGUAGCUCAGGAAAAAGUACUUUAAUAUAUGACACUUUACUCUCAUUUGUACUGAUCAUAAAAUAGGACAAGUUGUGUUUCGGUAAUUUUUCUGUGAUUAAUCAUUAUCUGAUGACCAAGUUGUUGUAUAUCCCAUGUGUAAUAAUGCCUUUUAUUUUUCUGUAAGUGCCAUAUAUAUUAUAUCCAGAGGACUCAUUACUCUUAAUGAUUAUUGCAUGUAUUACUUAAACAAACAAAAAUCGAAUGAGAAAUAUAUAUCAUAAUAUAUUAGAACAAAUUUGUGUUGGUUGUAUCAUGGAGUCACAUCAUAUGUCUCAAUAAAAUUACAAAACAAUUU